rnacentral:rRNA from 1 species
UCCUACGGGAGGCAGCAGUGGGGAAUAUUGCACAAUGGGCGCAAGCCUGAUGCAGCAACGCCGCGUGAGGGACGAAGGCCUUCGGGUUGUAAACCUCUUUUAGUAGGGAAGAAGCGACUGGGUUUUCCUGGGAGUGACGGUACCUGCAGAAAAAGCACCGGCUAACUACGUGCCAGCAGCCGCGGUAAUACGUAGGGUGCAAGCGUUGUCCGGAAUUAUUGGGCGUAAAGAGCUCGUAGGCGGUUUGUCGCGUCUGCUGUGAAAACCCGAGGCUCAACCUCGGGCCUGCAGUGGGUACGGGCAGACUAGAGUGCGGUAGGGGAGAUUGGAAUUCCUGGUGUAGCGGUGGAAUGCGCAGAUAUCAGGAGGAACACCAAUGGCGAAGGCAGAUCUCUGGGCCGUAACUGACGCUGAGGAGCGAAAGCAUGGGGAGCGAACAGGAUUAGAUACCCUGGUAGUCCAUGCCGUAAACGUUGGGAACUAGAUGUGGGGACCAUUCCACGGUCUCCGUGUCGCAGCUAACGCAUUAAGUUCCCCGCCUGGGGAGUACGGCCGCAAGGCUAAAACUCAAAGGAAUUGACGGGGGCCCGCACAAGCGGCGGAGCAUGCGGAUUAAUUCGAUGCAACGCGAAGAACCUUACCAAGGCUUGACAUAUACCGGAAACGGCUGGAAACAGUCGCCCCGCAAGGUCGGUAUACAGGUGGUGCAUGGUUGUCGUCAGCUCGUGUCGUGAGAUGUUGGGUUAAGUCCCGCAACGAGCGCAACCCUCGUCCUAUGUUGCCAGCACGUAAUGGUGGGAACUCAUGGGAUACUGCCGGGGUCAACUCGGAGGAAGGUGGGGAUGACGUCAAAUCAUCAUGCCCCUUAUGUCUUGGGCUUCACGCAUGCUACAAUGGCCGGUACAAAGGGCUGCGAUACCGCAAGGUGGAGCGAAUCCCAAAAAGCCGGUCUCAGUUCGGAUUGAGGUCUGCAACUCGACCUCAUGAAGUCGGAGUCGCUAGUAAUCGCAGAUCAGCAGCGCUGCGGUGAAUACGUUCCCGGGCCUUGUACACACCGCC